AACAACAAAGAGCAAAUAUGUAACUGAAUUUGAUCAUUCAUCAAAUAACAGAAAAUUGAAAAUCUGAUGCCUUUGAAUUUGAAGACACUAUACCUGAAUCAAAGUUAUAUACAUAUUUAUUUACAUUUUCAAACAUGCAUAUAGGAAAAUAACAUAAAGUUUAUGAUACCGAACCUAAGAAUCGAAAGAAUAAUGGAAAAAACUACCAAUAUAGGUUAUUUUGAAGAGUUGGACACAUUACCAAAAAAUUGGGGAAGAAGGGGAAGCAAAACUUACUGUAACUAAGGAUUAGAGCAACUGUUGAGGAGAAAUCGAUGGAAACAAUGAAAGAGCUAAAGUCGAUAGACAGCAAACAUACAGAUCCCUAAAAGUGCCCUUGUUCAUCCGGCAGAAAUCCCCUAAAUUUAAUGAUGCUGGGGAGAUGUUGAAUGCUUGUAGAGUUGUUAAAACUCUUAUCUCAAAUUAGCCGCAAGAAAUUUAACAAAAUGAUGAAGAAAGAUGGAGCAAAAGUAAGGAAGAGGAGAGUAAAAUUGCAGAGAAAAUGAACAUGAGAAAUGUGAGUCAAAGCAGCAAAAAAGGAAAGUAAAAUUGUACAGAUAGCUAAUUACCCUUACGUGGAUCGAGG
rnacentral:lncRNA from 1 species